CUCUUGACAUCCAGCGAACUUUCCAGAGAUGGAUUGGUGCCUUCGGGAACGCUGAGACAGGUGCUGCAUGGCUGUCGUCAGCUCGUGUUGUGAAAUGUUGGGUUAAGUCCGCAACGAGCGCAACCCUUUAUCCUUUGUUGCCAGCGAUUCGGUCGGGAACUCAAAGGAGACUGCCGGUGAUAAACCGGAGGAAGGUGGGGAUGACGUCAAGUCAUCAUGGCCCUUACGAGUAGGGCUACACACGUGCUACAAUGGCGCAUACAAAGAGAAGCGACCUCGCGAGAGCAAGCGGACCUCAUAAAGUGCGUCGUAGUCCGGAUCGGAGUCUGCAACUCGACUCCGUGAAGUCGGAAUCGCUAGUAAUCGUGGAUUAGAAUGCCACGGUGAAUACGUUCCCGGGCCUUGUACACACCGCCCGUCACACCAUGGGAGUGGGUUGCAAAAGAAGUAGGUAGCUUAACCUUCGGGAGGGCGCUUACCACUUUGUGAUUCAUGACUGGGGUGAAGUCGUAACAAGGUAGGCGUAGCGAG
rnacentral:rRNA from 1 species